AUUCAUGGCGCGCACUCGUCCCAGGAGCAACUAGAAGUCUUUGACCAUUGCAUUUUAGGAACAUUCCAGCCAGAUUGAUACCAAAUUUCACCUCUUUCAGUUGCUGAUGGAAGAUCUCCGUAGCGUCUCCACCCAAAUCGAAGAACUGAGGGCCGGAUGUCCCAUGCAGGGCUGUGGAGUUGGAAAAGGUGGCGAACUGGGAGCCCUGUGGAGGCGCUGGCUGUGUUUGCGACGUGGCAUUGGCCUCCUGACGGCCCACGCACAACAGAGAGCAAACGAGUGGCGAGACAUUACCGCAAGUAUAAAGGAGUCACGUAGGUGUCUGAAUACGCUGCAGGCCGAUGUUCUCGACGCCUCCACUGUGAGUUUCACUAUGGUGGAUCCUCAGGAGCUUCUGGGUCGGGCUGAAAUGCACCAGGCAGCCCUGCAGGUGCAGCAGCAGGCCCUGGCCUCCCUGCAGCAUCGGAUGGAGCAAGUUCUCAUUUCCUCUACAUCUCAGGAGCCCCUCAGUCCCGGACCUGUGGGCAAAACCCUGGCGAUGAGCCGAGAGAGCGUCGUGAGGUGUGAAUUCUGUCGUAUAUUUCUGAAAUAA
rnacentral:lncRNA from 1 species